AAUGGGACUGCCUACGCAAGUAGUGAGGAAGGUGGGGAUGACGUCAAGUCAGCAUGGCCCUUACGUCUAGGGCUACACACGUGCUACAAUGGGUACUACAACGGGUUGCUAAACCGCGAGGUGGUGCUAAUCCCUUAAAAGUAUCCUCAGUUCGGAUUGCAGUCUGAAACUCGACUGCAUGAAGCUGGAAUUGCUAGUAAUCGCGCAUCAGCACGGCGCGGUGAAUACGUUCCCGGGCCUUGUACACACCGCCCGUCAAGCCAUGGAAGCCGGGGGUACCCAAAGCCAGUGACCUAACCGCAAGGAAGGAGCUGUCUAAGGUAAAACCGGUGACUGGGGCUAAGUCGUAACAAGGUAGCCGUACCGGAAGGUGCGGCUGGAUCACCUCCUUUCUAAAGAG
rnacentral:rRNA from 1 species